rnacentral:rRNA from 1 species
AUUGAACGCUGGCGGCAGGCCUAACACAUGCAAGUCGAGCGGAUGAAGAGAGCUUGCUCUCUGAUUCAGCGGCGGACGGGUGAGUAAUGCCUAGGAAUCUGCCUGGUAGUGGGGGACAACGUUUCGAAAGGAACGCUAAUACCGCAUACGUCCUACGGGAGAAAGCAGGGGACCUUCGUGCCUUGCGCUAUCAGAUGAGCCUAGGUCGGAUUAGCUAGUAGGUGGGGUAAAGGCUCACCUAGGCGACGAUCCGUAACUGGUCUGAGAGGAUGAUCAGUCACACUGGAACUGAGACACGGUCCAGACUCCUACGGGAGGCAGCAGUGGGGAAUAUUGGACAAUGGGCGAAAGCCUGAUCCAGCCAUGCCGCGUGUGUGAAGAAGGUCUUCGGAUUGUAAAGCACUUUAAGUUGGGAGGAAGGGCAGUAAGCUAAUACCUUGCUGCUUUGACGUUACCAACAGAAUAAGCACCGGCUAACUUCGUGCCAGCAGCCGCCGUAACAC